rnacentral:ncRNA from 1 species
GCUAUUUGGUUUUGGUAGGAAAUUAGUAUAAAUUUUUGUAUAAACACAUGAUAGUCUUAGCGAAUUGUGAGGAAGUAAUAAGAAAUAAAAAUAAUUAAUUUAAGGUUUCUUACUUGAUUUAGUAAAAAUGCAAUGAUUCAAUAAGUUACACAACUUCAGUGAUAAAGUUUAAACAAUUAUUUAUAAGAUAGAUUAAAUAUCAAAAAAUAAGGGGAGGCUAAAUAAAGUGCCAGCAGCUGCGGUUAAACUUUUUCUUCAAGCUAAUUAAUUUGUGGUAAGUUUUUUAACUUAAAUAGUAAAAGAAAAUACACUUUUUUUAAGUAAGCCUAUGAAUAAGAAGAGCUGUCUUUUUAAAGUUAAUAUAACGAAGUCUGUUAUUGUGACUAGGUUACUACCUAUUAAUAAAGAUGUAAAAUAUAUGACGGGGACUACGAACUAUUGUUUAAAGUCUAAAAAACUUGGCGGUGCAUUAAAUCCUUUUAGGGGAACCUGACGGUUAAUUCGAUGAUCCUCGUAAUACCUUACCUUAAAAUAAGCUGCUAUACCGCCGUUGCCAGCGGAGUCUUUGAAGAGGCAUUAUAUCUGCUAAAUAAAUAUAAAUUAUAUUUAGGAUUUCAGGUAAACGUGGUGCAAAUUUUACAGGCCUUAGUUGGGUUACAAAUUUAGAAAAAUUGAAAUUUAAAGUGAAAUAAUUAAAUGAAAUAGGACUUAAAAGUAAUUUUUUAAAAGAGAGAGAAAAUGAAGUGGUAAUAAUGUGCGUACAAACCGCCCGAUGCUCCCCUAUAACUCGAAAUGGGGAUAAGUCGAAACAUGGUAAUACUAGUAGAAACUGGUAUU